UUAACGAUAAAGAGUGUGAGAGACACUCUCGCCGAAAGUCCAAGGGUUCCUGCGUAAAGUUAAUCUGCGCAGGGUUAGCCGGCUCCUAAGACGAGGGCGAAAGCCGUAGUCGAUGGGAAUGAAGUUAAUAUUCUUCAGCCAGGGGUUGGUGACGGAUUGCGUAAGUUGUCAAGCCUUAACGGAUUGGUUUGGCAGUGAAGUGGUCCCAGGAAAUAGCCCCCCAAACGACCGUACCCUAAACCGACACAGGUGGACAGGUAGAGCAUACCAAGGCGCUUGAGAGAACUGCGUUGAAGGAACUCGGCAAAUUGCCCUCGUAACUUCGGGAUAAGAGGGCCUCGGCUAUGCGCAAGCAUGGUCGAGGGGCACAGACCAGGGGGUGGCGACUGUUUACCAAAAACACAGGGCUCUGCGAAGCCGUGAGGCGACGUAUAGGGUCUGACGCCUGCCCGGUGCCGGAAGGUUAAGAGGAGGGGUGCAAGCUCCGAAUUGAAGCCCCGGUAAACGGCGGCCGUAACAAUAACGGUCCUAAGGUAGCGAAAUUCCUUGUCGGGUAAGUUCCGACCUGCACGAAUGGCGUAACGACUUCCCCACUGUCUCCAACGCAGACUCAGUGAAAUUGAAUUCCCCGUGAAGAUGCGGGGUUCCUGCGGUUAGACGGAAAGACCCCGUGCACCUUUACUAUAGCUUCACACUGGUAUUCGUGAUUACAUGUGUAGGAUAGGUGGGAGACUACGAAGCGGAGCCGCCAGGUUCCGUGGAGUCACCCUUGAAAUACCACCCUUGCGAUUAUGGAUAUCUAACUGCGGCCCGUUAUCCGGGUCCAGGACCGUGUGUGGUGGGUAGUUUGACUGGGGCGGUCGCCUCCCAAAGAGUAACGGAGGCGCGCGAUGGUAGGCUCAAGCUGGUCGGAAAUCAGCUGUCGAGUGCAAAGGCAUAAGCCUGCCUGACUGCGAGACCCACAAGUCGAGCAGAGACGAAAGUCGGCCUUAGUGAUCCGGUGGUCCUGCGUGGAAGGGCCAUCGCUCAACGGAUAAAAGGUACGCCGGGGAUAACAGGCUGAUGACCCCCAAGGGUCCAUAUCGACGGGGUUGUUUGGCACCUCGAUGUCGGCUCAUCGCAUCCUGGGGCUGGAGCAGGUCCCAAGGGUUUGGCUGUUCGCCAAUUAAAGCGGUACGUGAGCUGGGUUCAGAACGUCGUGAGACAGUUCGGUCCCUAUCUGCCGUGGGUGUAGGAGAAUUGAGAGGAGCUGUCCUUAGUACGAGAGGACCGGGAUGGACGCACCUCUGGUGGACCUGUUGUGGCGCCAGCCGCAGUGCAGGGUAGCUAUGUGCUGAAGAGAUAACCGCUGAAGGCAUCUAAGCGGGAAACUCGCCUCGAAACAAGUUCUCCCUUGAGAACCGUGGAAGACCACCACGUUGAUAGGCUGGGUGUGGAAGCGCGGCAACGCGUGUAGCUUACCGGUACUAAUAGUUU
rnacentral:rRNA from 1 species